rnacentral:lncRNA from 1 species
GUGAGAAGCUAUUUAAUACGAUUUUGCCAUGAGAGUGGGAAAUUAACUAAGGUGAGAACCGACAAUCGCGAGAGCGUGAGGGUCGAACUAGAUAGUAAAAACUAGGCAUUGAUUUUAAAAACAGCGAGAGCACUUUAAAAGCAAUUAGAACUUAUCUAUUUUCAAAAAGUAUUUUUAACUUCAAAUGGGACAGCGAGAGCGUAC